GACGAACGCUGGCGGCGUGCUUAACACAUGCAAGUCGAACGGUAAGGCCCUUCGGGGUACACGAGUGGCGAACGGGUGAGUAACACGUGGGUGAUCUGCCCUGCACUUCGGGAUAAGCCUGGGAAACUGGGUCUAAUACCGGAUAGGACCACUGCCUGCAUGGGUGGUGGUGGAAAGCUUUUGCGGUGUGGGAUGGGCCCGCGGCCUAUCAGCUUGUUGGUGGGGUGAUGGCCUACCAAGGCGACGACGGGUAGCCGGCCUGAGAGGGUGACCGGCCACACUGGGACUGAGAUACGGCCCAGACUCCUACGGGGGGCAGCAGUGGGGAAUAUUGCACAAUGGGCGCAGGCCUGAUGCAGCGACGCCGCGUGAGGGAUGACGGCCUUCGGGUUGUAAACCUCUUUCAGCACCGACGAAGCGCAAGUGACGGUAGGUGCAGAAGAAGGACCGGCCAACUACGUGCCAGCCGCCGCCGUAA
rnacentral:rRNA from 1 species